UUAAAAUGAUGAGAAAGGAACGCUGAUAUGUGGCAUGAUUCACAAAAUCCGCAACAACACAAUCCUCAAAAAUAGGUCCUACUGAAAA
rnacentral:snoRNA from 1 species